AAAUUCCGUUUCGAAUCCUCUUUAAAUCUCUCAUUCUGUUUCGGUUUUCCCUAGACGAGCAAAAGCUAACUAAUUUCCGGCAACUAAAAUACUAGAGUACAGAUGACAGGAAAAAAAUGAGACUAUUGAAGAAGAAGAGUCGGCGCCGCUCGAAUGUAGUGACAAGUUCAGCGGAGAGGCAAGCGAAUACUGAUUUCAAUUUUUAUUGGGUAAGUAUCUGUAAACACUGAAUUCAAUUUUCAUUAGGGGAUGGGGAUUCAGGAUUUGAAAUCUGGGGAUAUUGAUUUUGAAUCGAAGAUUUGAUCCCAAAGGUGUGUUAUAGCUUAUGGAUUUUCAAAUUAAAUUGAAUUUUCCGCCAGAAUAAAGUAAUUUAGAAGAUUUAUGUACAAAUUUGUGUACAUACGCGAAUUUGGAGUUAUGCUUAUGUCUAAUUUAAGUGUUUUCGAUAAAAACCGUAUAUAAUUAAUGGGCUAUUGGGGUUUAUUCGUUAUUGUGUUCAUAUGUUAGAUUAGUUAUGGAGAUUAUAAUCUGAAAUAUUUCUAUUACACAUAACUUGCAGGAAGCAUGAAUCUGAUUGAAGAAGGUAAUGUUGGUGAAGGAUCUGAAGAGUUACCGCUGAGGUAUGUUAAGUUCUUUCUAAGUAGUCCAGAAAUAUUCAGAUUGGAACAAGAAGAUCUUCUUGGCUGAAGAAUAUGAAUACCUCAGAAUACAAUGAGAUGACUAUGCUUCGGCUCUAAGUUUUACUUUAUUUCUUAAGAAUCUACUCUACUUCUCGAUUUAGAUCUAUGCUUUGAAUU
rnacentral:lncRNA from 1 species